CCACCCGCCGCAAACACGCCACCGGCUUAUACGCUACGAGUUUAUUAGACAACGUAAUAUUAUACAGUUACUGUAAUAUAAGAUAUAAUUUUAAUGUAUAAACGUAAUAUAAUAAAUUGUGUUUUUUUUUUUUUCUUGUCUAAUCGAACGAUCGUAAUAAUAAUAUUAUAAGCUCGCACACGAUUAGUUUUAUUUUACCCGCAGCAAUCACUGAACGUAUCGAGUACAAAACAGUAUUUUAUAAGCGAUUCCGCGUGUGUACGGAAAACCGACGUAGUAUCAAAACUGCGGGGUUUUCGCGGUGUUCGUCGGUCGCAUAAAUGUCGAUUU